UUUGAUUUCACAGAAGUGUGAUUGACUUGGAGUUACAUUGUGUUGUUUAAGUGUUCCCUUUUAUUUUUUUGAGCAGUGUAUUUACAAUAAACAGAAUGUUGGAGCCAACAGUAGGCAUAACCUAUUUUAGUAGUCUAGUAGGGCUCACGUACAUGGAGUUGCCGCAGGUGCUUCCUGACCAGAUGCUGGUAUGGUGUCAGGUACUGUCAAUCGGGGUUCUAAUAUUUUCUAUCUUUUCUGUAAAGAAUCGUAAAAACAGUUUGCAGAGAUCAGGUGAUCUGUGAUCAGGUGAUCAGGCAGCCUCAUGCUUCCCACCCGAAACAGUUCGGUACAGUUUGUGCAUAUUAUUAUGACAAACAUUUUUUACGUUUUAGGUUUCGUCGGCUGUUCGGGCACACAUUUUUUUUCUCUACUCUCUUGUCUGUGAUUGGUCAACUGCAGGGGUGCUUCUUGUAGAUUCAGCCCGAAACUCAGUGUGGAUUCAGCAUGGUGAACGCCAACGUCAUGCAUCGAUUGACUGGUACGAUUCUAGCCAUGCAUUAUAUAAACACCACCAUGUAAAUGCCAUGGAGGGAGAUUGCGGAGACGCUGGGGUCCGACCCAACCACUUGUUCAAAAAAGUGUUCGCAACCAGUUCGUCAAGGCAAAGAAAAGAAACAAGGGCCGCAGUGGAGAUGCCGGUGGAAAGGCUUCUCCAGGAACGUUGUUGCUGGCUUUUAUGGCAGGUGAAGCAACGUGCAUCUUCACCAAAGGAUGGGCACAAACACCAGUGAAUGGAGACCGCACCUGGUUUUGUUCUCUGCGCCCCAGCACUUCCUGUUCACCGGCCCCAAGCACUACCUCUGUCCCAGUACUGACUGGUGAUCGGCCCCCAGCCCAUCUCCUGCACUGAGUUGUAGUGCAGAAUUAGGAACAAUCUCCAUGCAGGACUUGGGCAGCUCUAUCCUGGGCCCACCCCCGAGAACUACUCCACUGGCUUGCUCCUCACCGACGCCACAGAGCAGCAGUAGUAGCAGUGGUGUGAGAAGGGAGAAAAGAGCUGCAGACUCCGUCCUUGACACAUCACUUGCAAAGGCUUUGCAAAUGAUUGAAAACAUAUCUCAAGAUCUGGACAACAUCAUGCACCAAGCCACCAGCUUGUCCCAGAGGGUCCUGGCACCUAUGGAUGAACUCUCGCCAAAACUCUGGGAGGAAUUCGAUCACCAGCUGCAUGAGUUCGUGCGUGACGAAUACAGACCACGACGACUGGGACCACAGUGAAAUUAACAACUUGUUCUGUUGUUCAGAUAUCUCAGAAGUCAGACACUUUCAUUUAAUUCCAUACACACUUUUGUUAUUUACAUGUGUCUGUUUUACUAUUGUUCUGAAAUAUUUAUAUUGCUCUUAAAUAUUUUUAUCUACUCUCUUGGCACUAUAUUUGAGCCUUUUGUUGUUUACAUGUCUGUUCAUAGCAGACACUGUUGAACUAUUGUUCAGAAAUAUUUGUAACGACACAUUUUAUACCAUAGACACUUGUUUUACAUGUCUGUUCUCAGCAGACACUUUAGUAUUGUGGUAUAUUUUCAGAUGCAAGAAUAAAGGUUUAUUUGUGUGCUGAAAAAGCACUGACUUUUAUUUCAAUGCAAGGUGUUUCAAUGGAUUAUAUUUGAACAUCAAUUGCUGACAACGACUUUACAGGCUUGUGGUGUAGUUCGGUCUAAUCUAAAUUACUGCACACUGAGGCGUCCCAGAAUCAGGUUUAAUUUUAUAAACAAGAUUUAAAACUACUGGUUCACAGUGCACACAAAGAACUUAGUAUGCAUCCAUCAAGGAUCUUCAUUCUUGCAGCGAUGAUGCCGAAUGCAUACUCUAACUCUCCGACAACGAGAGAGGGGGUAGUUCCAGAUACGCCCAGGUUUAUUGAGAUGUUACCUGUCAUUCAGGAGGUGUCCAAGAGAAUGUCAUAUUAGGUAAACAAAAACAAUAUACCAUUUUCCCGGAACCAAAAGCCUUGAUUAAAUUGCACUUGUUAUAAAGAGGUGUAUGUAGUAAUAAGGGACAUUUAUUCCAACAUUCUAUUACCAACAUACCUGGAUAAGGGUUCGUGAGUGAGGUUCUCAUGUAGGGGGAAAAGCUUAAUCCCUGAGGAAAGUAUGAGGACUUGGCAUUGUGGUAUGUAGCAGAACAGCUGGCUGUGGUAAAUAAAGGGUCUUUGCAACAGUUUGGAUCCAAAAUAACUCUUAACACUCCACCAUAGCUCUCUCGGCUGUAUGCACCUACAUACACCAUUGUGAACCUGUAGCGGGCAUCUUCCUUGUCUCUGUUUUGCGCCUAUUAUACAGUGCAUUCGGAAAGUAUUCAGAUCCCUUGGCUUUUUCCAAAUUUUUACUGCACAUUUUCCUCCAAUUUUCCUCCAAGCUGGAAAAUUGGAUGUAAUAAAUGUAUCACUAGUCACUUUAAACAAUGCCACUUUAUAUGUUUACAUACCCUACAUUACUCAUCUCAUAUGUGUAUAUGCACCAAUUUGUAAGUCGCUCUGGAUAAGAGCGUCUGCUAAAUGACUUAAAUGUAAUGUAAAUGUAUAUACUAUACCAUCUACUGCAUCUUGCCUAUGCUGCACGGCCAUCGCUCAUCCAUAUAUUUAUAUGUACAUAUUCUUAUUAAUUCCAUUACACUUGUGUGCAUACGGUAGUUGUUGUGAAAUUGUUAGAUUACUUGAUACGGUUGCAUGGUUGGAACUAGAAGCACGAGCAUUUCGCUACACUCGCAUUAACAUAUGCAUUAACCAUGUGUAUGUGACCAAUAAAAUUUGAUUUGAAAUCUCCCACUUUCCCACCACCAAAGAAUCCCCAGACCAUCACAUUGCCUCCACCAUGCUUGACAGAUGGCGUCAAGCACUCCUCCAGCAUAUUUUCAUUU